UGACGCAGAAAAACAGCAUAAUCAUAAUUAAAAUAUCAAUGGGAACACUUUGAAAUUAGAUCAAAAGAUGAUCAGAGUGAGACUUUACCUGUAAAACUGUCAGAACAUUCAUCCCACUUGAAAACAAUCAGUAUUUUUGCAAAGACUAAACUCUAACCUUUGAAUUUAAACUCUGGUUUUGACCUCUGCCUCUCUCAGAUGCUGAUUGCAGCAGAGUUCCUGCAGGCGGAGACACAGACACUCGUUUAUGCUGAACUUUAAAAAGAGAAGGUGAAACAUGUGUGUGUUUGUGUGUUAUCGGAAUGAAGAGAGCCUCCCGUGUGGAUUUACACUGUGAGAUAACAGUGUGAGCAGCAACACAACUGCACACACAUGGAGUCGCCUCCAGGGACUGAUGCUCACCUGCAGCUAAACUGCUCAAUGAUCCCCCCUCCCAUCCAUGGAGGAUUGUCAGCCACGGACACCUUAAUCCACUGCUGACUUUUAAUAGCAACGUUCUAUUUUUGGCUUCCUUUCUACAAUGAAGCUUUGACUCUCUAGCUUUUUUUUUUCCCUUCAUCUAUAUUUAUAACCGUCUUUUUGAGCCACAAAUAACUGACAAAUAUAGCAGAACUAACCCCCAAACUAAUUUUAUUUAACUGUUUCCUCAUUUGUUCUAAUUGAAUUACAGCCUAUUUUGGAUCAUGAAGAUAAACUGCAUUCUUUAUGGGCAUUUUUUUAUCCCAAAAGUCAUUUUAUAUGUAGUUUUAUGCAUUUUAAGGCAUUAAAACACUCAGUAAAUUAUCAGCUUUGGGAAAUUCCAGCAUAUUUUACAUUUACGGAGCAAUGACAGAUGCAGUCAGCCUGAACAACCUCAGCAGCUCUCCUCUGAGCUGCUCCAGCUCAGCUCAGCCACAGAGAAGCUUCAGUUCCAGGUGGUGAACUUGCAGAAGUUCAUUCAUAUUUAAUGCAAGCAGCAAGAACGAGUCCCGCCUGCAGAGCUGACCUGACGCCACACGACUCGGUGUCCGGUCUCCAGCGCUGCCAUCAUUCACAAAUCUACAAUUUCUACAGACAAGUCAAAUAAAACACUGAGUUACUUUAACUCUUCAUGCUUGAAUAAUGAAAUAUAAUAAAAAUGUCAUUUUAAGCUUAAUUUUCUUUAUAAAUGUCCUCCAUCAUCAGAAAAAUACCACAAGAACAUGUUAGAAACACAGUUGUCAUCAGAGUGGGUUUGAAGGCACUUCCAUCACACUAUUCCAAACAAAGACAGCAGCUUCUCCAUCAAAAUAAGGAGCAGUCUAUCCACUUAGGCCUGCCUGCAACACCUCCUAAUCCUCUGAUCUCUCCACCAACCAGCUGCUGCUGCUAAAGUCCUUGAGAGAGAAGAAGAAACCCCCCCCCAGAGAUGUUCCCGUCUUCACCGUGUCCAUGACAUCAGCUCCGAAUGCUUCUAAUUAGGUUGAGAUGCACUCAGUGCAACUUCAGCUCUGAAACACGCACAGAAAUAAAACAACCCUCUGGGAAAAGGAGAAAAAAUGAGUCAAAUGGAAUGUGAGUCCUUCGUUUUGGAGAUAAGCGGCCUUCCAUCUACAAACACACGACCUUCUGGUCAAAGCAUCUUUGAGAUCAAUGUUGGUUUGUGCUCUGGCAUUUGCAGAGUCACUAGUUGCUCCUGAGAGAGCAAUGCCCGAUAGAGGGAUAUGCAAGGGGAGGACUCGCCCCAAAAAUGCUGUGACUGUAACAUCUAAAUAUAAAAUUAACUAAAGAAAUAAAGAUUACAUUAAAAAAUCCAUAGAAAAAACAAACAAAAAAAA